rnacentral:lncRNA from 1 species
CCAUGUUUUUAUUCUUAAAACUGAUAAAAUUUACAUUUAAUGUUCAGGAAAUUUCCCAAAAUAUAUGAAAGUUUCAAAAUAUUUGUAGUGAAGCUGUAUGUGACAACUAUUUUUUCGGGAAAUAUCCCGAAAUCAUUUUCAACAUUAUUAUUUAUAACAUAUAUGUUGGCAGAGCGUUUCAACAAAAAUAUCUGAAAAACAUUUCGGGAAAUAUCCCGACAAAAAUUAACUUACUACAAAAUAUGUACACAGAUGUCUUCAAAUAUUUCGGGAUUUAUCCCGAAAAAUCAAGUGUAUAUGCUAGACCUAACGACUAAUAAUUUCUUUUCACAUUUCGGGAAAAAUCCCGAAAAUAUAAAUCUAAUAUCAGGCACACACUUUUUACAUAGAUUUUUGUUACCCAUUUCGGGAAAAAUCCCGAAAUAAAAUCUACAAGCAGAAAUAAUGCAUUUUGAUUUCUUAAACAUAUUUGGAAAAAAUCCUGAAAAACACAUUUCGGGAAACAUCCCGACAAAAAUUAACCUACUACAAAAUAUGCACACAGAUGUCUUCAAAUAUUUCGGGAUUUGUCCCGAAAAUUCAAGUGUAUAUACUAGACAUAACGACUAAUAAUUUCUUUUCACAUUUCGGGAAAAAUCCCGAAAAUAUAAAUCUAAUAUCAGGCACUCACUUGUUACAUAGAUUUUUGUUACCCAUUUCGGGAAAAAUCCCGAAAUAAAAUCUACAAGCAGAAAUAAUGCAUUUUGAUUUCUUAAACAUAUUUGGGAAAAAUCCCAAAAAAACAAAAACUUUAAGAUUUUACAACACAAAAUGUUGAUACAUCUAAAAAAAGUUUUUACAUAAAUUUAUUUUUUUAAAUUUUGAUUCAUAAAAAUUUUGAUUCAUAAAAAUUUUUAUUCAUAAAAAAUAUGUUUCUAACUGAAAAAAAUAUGUAUUUGUUUAUGACCACAUUUUUCAUUACUUUUCUUAGAAAUAUUAAGGUUGCUCUCUAUUGCAUCCCUUUUGUCAUGCUUCAGUAAUUUUCUAAAUAUAAUAUCAGGCCAAUUUGUCCCACAAAAAGGGGGUCUUAGGCCUCCUCUAAAUCCUAUUUAUAAGAGGUUGAUUUUAAACUGGCCUAAGCAUAAACUUUAACAUGUAAACUGCAAAAGAUUGCAAGUUAUAAAACUAUGAUUUAAGGUUCAGGAUUAUUAAAAUCCCCAAGCACAUGUAUUGUCCAAAAGCUUAUUUAACUGCAUAUAAAAUACCCCUGGUUCUCCUAAAACUGAACUAACCCGGUUAUCACAAAUAUUUCAGUGUAAACUAAGGAAAUUUUCAAAGUCAAAAUUCCAUUACUGAGAGGCUGGUGAGGAGGGCAAUUGAGAUAUGCGUCCAUAACACAUUGUACCCUUCUUCCACAAUCAGAUUUCCAUGUUCAGUAACUUAUUUGUAAUUGUUUAAAAAAUACUGACUUCAUAAUGAAACACUUGAAAGUACAAAGUUUCAAGUUUAUUUGAGUGACCAUAACAUCAUAGUAAACUAUUGUACAAAAAACCUUUACCUACUGUACUGUUGUACAUCUUGAAAACAAAAUAAUUGAUAAAAACUAGUUUCAACUCAUUCAAAU